rnacentral:rRNA from 1 species
GGAGGAAAAGAAAUCAACCGAGAUUCCCUAAGUAGUGACGAGCGAACGGGGAACAGCCCUUAAGCUGGAAUGGCUUUAGAAAAACAAUCUGGAAAGAUUGGCCAUAGAAGGUGAUAGCCCUGUAUUUAAAAGGGCCACUCCAGUGAAGACGAGUAGGGCGGGGCACGUGAAACCCUGUCUGAAUAUGGGGGGACCAUCCUCCAAGGCUAAAUACUCCUGACCGACCGAUAGUGAACCAGUACCGUGAGGGAAAGGCGAAAAGAACCCCGGAGAGGGGAGUGAAAUAGAUCCUGAAACCGUGUGCGUACAAGCAGUAGGAGCUCGCAAGAGUGACUGCGUACCUUUUGUAUAAUGGGUCAGCGACUUACUGUUCGUGGCAAGCUUAACCGUAUAGGGGAGGCGAAGGGAAACCGAGUCUGAUAAGGGCGCAUAGUCGCGGGCAGUAGACCCGAAACCGGGUGAUCUAGUCAUGGCCAGGGUGAAGGUGCCGUAACAGGUACUGGAGGCCCGAACCCACGUCUGUUGCAAAAGACGGGGAUGAGCUGUGAUUAGGAGUGAAAAGCUAAUCGAACCCGGAGAUAGCUGGUUCUCCUCGAAAGCUAUUUAGGUAGCGCCUCGGACGAAUACUACUGGGGGUAGAGCACUGUUAUGGCUAGGGGGUCAUCGCGACUUACCAAACCAUUGCAAACUCCGAAUACCAGUACGUACUAUCCGGGAGACACACGGCGGGUGCUAACGUCCGUCGUGAAAAGGGAAACAACCCAGACCCACAGCUAAGGUCCCAAAUUCACUGCUAAGUGGAAAACGAUGUGGAAAGGCACAGACAGCCAGGAGGUUGGCUUAGAAGCAGCCACCCUUUAAAGAAAGCGUAAUAGCUCACUGGUCGAGUCGGUCUGCGCGGAAGAUUUAACGGGGCUAAGCAGUGAACCGAAGCUUGGGGUGCAUAAAACUUGUUUUAUGCGCGGUAGAGGAGCGUUCCGUAAGCCUGCGAAGGUGGAUUGAGAAGUCCGCUGGAGGUAUCGGAAGUGCGAAUGCUGACAUGAGUAACGAUAAUGCGGGUGAAAAGCCCGCACGCCGAAAGCCCAAGGUUUCCUUGCGCAACGUUAAUCGACGCAGGGUUAGUCGGUCCCUAAGGCGAGGGCGAAAGCCGUAGUCGAUGGGAAGCAGGUUAAUAUUCCUGCACCUCGCGUGAGUGCGAUGGAGGGACGGAGAAGGUUAGGUGUACCGGGCGUUGGUUGUCCCGGGGAAAGGCGGUAGGUUUGGAUCUUUGGCAAAUCCGGGAUCCUUUAAGACCGAGCACCGAGACGAGCCUUUAUGGCGAAGUCACUGAUACCACGCUUCCAGGAAAAGCUCCUAAGCUUCAGCUCACGAAGACCGUACCGUAAACCGACACAGGUGGGUAGGAUGAGAAUUCUCAGGCGCUUGAGAGAACUCGGGUGAAGGAACUAGGCAACAUGGCACCGUAACUUCGGGAGAAGGUGCACCCUUUUUGGUGGCUCAUGCGAGCUAUAGCUGAAGAGGGUCGCAGAAACCAGGCCGCUGCGACUGUUUAUCAAAAACACAGCACUCUGCAAACACGAAAGUGGACGUAUAGGGUGUGACGCCUGCCCGGUGCUGGAAGGUUAAUUGAUGGGGUCAGCCGCAAGGCGAAGCUCUUGAUCGAAGCCCCAGUAAACGGCGGCCGUAACUAUAACGGUCCUAAGGUAGCGAAAUUCCUUGUCGGGUAAGUUCCGACCUGCACGAAUGGCGUAACGACAGCGGCGCUGUCUCCACCCGAGACUCAGUGAAAUUGAAAUCGCUGUGAAGAUGCAGCGUUCCCGUGGCAAGACGGAAAGACCCCGUGAACCUUUACUAUAGCUUUACACUGAACGUUGAGUUCGUCUGUGUAGGAUAGGUGGGAGGCUAUGAAACUGUGGCGCUAGCUGCAGUGGAGCCAUCCUUGAAAUACCACCCUGUCGUGCUUGACGUUCUAACCUAGAUCCGUUAUCCGGAUCAGGGACCGUGUAUGGUGGGUAGUUUGACUGGGGCGGUCUCCUCCUAAAGAGUAACGGAGGAGCACGAAGGUACGCUCAGCGCGGUCGGACAUCGCGCACUGUGUGCAAAGGCAUAAGCGUGCUUGACUGCAAGAUCGACGGAUCAAGCAGGUACGAAAGUAGGUCUUAGUGAUCCGGUGGUUCUGUAUGGAAGGGCCAUCGCUCAACGGAUAAAAGG